UACGUAGGGAGCAAGCGUUGUCCGGAAUCAUUGGGCGUAAAGAGCGUGUAGGCGGCCCGAUAAGUCCGCCGUGAAAGUCCAGGGCUCAACCCUGGAAUGCCGGUGGAAACUGUCGGGCUAGAGUCCGGAAGAGGCGAGUGGAAUUCCUGGUGUAGCGGUGAAAUGCGCAGAUAUCAGGAGGAACACCAAUGGCGAAGGCAGCUCGCUGGGACGGUACUGACGCUGAGACGCGAAAGCGUGGGGAGCGAACAGG
rnacentral:rRNA from 1 species